GGCGAACGCUGGCGGCGUGCUUAACACAUGCAAGUCGAACGGAAAGGCCCUGCUUUUGUGGGGUGCUCGAGUGGCGAACGGGUGAGUAACACGUGAGUAACCUGCCCUUGACUUUGGGAUAACUUCAGGAAACUGGGGCUAAUACCGGAUAGGAGCUCCUGCUGCAUGGUGGGGGUUGGAAAGUUUCGGCGGUUGGGGAUGGACUCGCGGCUUAUCAGCUUGUUGGUGGGGUAGUGGCUUACCAAGGCUUUGACGGGUAGCCGGCCUGAGAGGGUGACCGGCCACAUUGGGACUGAGAUACGGCCCAGACUCCUACGGGAGGCAGCAGUGGGGAAUAUUGCACAAUGGGCGGAAGCCUGAUGCAGCAACGCCGCGUGCGGGAUGACGGGCUUCGGGUUGUAAACCGCUUUCGCCUGUGACGAAGCGUGAGUGACGGUAAUGGGUAAAGAAGCACCGGCUAACUACGUG
rnacentral:rRNA from 1 species